CCCCUCAGCCCACCUCAGGCGGCCGCCAUUAGGUUCCCGCCCCUUCCCGCCUCCCCGCGCUGCGCGCGCAGCGGGCCCUGCGCUCUGACGGGAGGGCGGGGGGAGGGGAGGCGCUGAGGGGGCGCCCGCACACGCACUCAGCCCCGGCCUCCCUCAUUCUCUUUUUUUGGGGGGUCCUCCCGUUUUUUGGGGGUGUCAGAAGGACUCUGGAGAAGGAGGAGAAGAAGGGGGGUGUCUCUAGGUGCUGCUGGACCGGCCGCGGGGCCCGGCAGACAACGCUAUGGCUGCUACAGUGAACUUGGAGCUCGAUCCUAUUUUUCUGAAAGCCCUGGGCUUCUUGCACUCGAAGAGUAAGGAUUCUGCUGAAAAGCUGAAAGCGCUUCUUGAUGAGUCUUUGGCCAGAGGAACAGACUCAAGCUAUCGUCCAUCUCAGAAGGAAGUAGAACAACCAAAAGUAUCUGUUAGCAAACCUAUUUCCAGUAAGCAAGAGCCUAAAGCUGCUUCUAGUUUGCCUUCUGGCAACAACAAUGGCAAGCCCACUGCAUCAGAAAAGGUGAAGAAAGAAACAGAAAAGAAAUCUUCUGAUAAAGUAAAAGCAGAUACUGUGGAAGGAGCUGAUAUGCCAAAGAAGCCCAGGCUUGAGAAGCAAGAGGCUCGUUCCUCUCCUAUUACAGUUCAGACAAGUAAAGAUUUAUCCAUGCCUGACUUAUCUAGCUUUGAGGAAACCAGUGCUGAUGAUUUUGCUAUGGAAAUGGGUUUGGCCUGUGUUGUUUGCAGGCAAAUGACAGUUAUUUCUGGGAAUCAGCUAGUGGAGUGUCAGGAGUGCCAUAAUCUCUACCACCAGGAUUGCCAUAAACCUCAGGUGACAGACAAGGAAGUGAAUGAUCCUCGACUUGUGUGGUACUGUGCCCGCUGUACCAGACAGAUGAAGAGAAUGGCUCAGAAGACACAAAAACCACCUCAAAAACCCGCUCCAGCAGUGGUUUCAGUUGCACCAGCUGUGAAAGAUCCAUUGGUCAAGAAGCCAGAAAUUAAGUUGAAACUUGAGACCCCAUCAACUUUUCUGGCAUUCAAGAGAACAGAAGUCAAGACCUCAGCAGCAGUUUCGGGGAACACAGCCAGUACAAGUGUUUCCUCUUCAGCAACCAGUGGCCUUACAGGAUGGGCUGCCUUUGCAGCCAAAACCUCCUCUGCCAAUCCAUCAACUACCAAACUGGGAUCAACAGCACAGAGUGCCAGCGGGAAACCUGCAGCUUCUUCAAAUAACCAGAAACCUGUGGGUUUGUCAGGGUUGGCAACUUCCAAAACGGGACUCGGGUCAAAAAUAGCUUCAGGUAACAACAGCACAAGCCCUGUACAGCUGAAACCUCCUCCGCCUUUGACGCUCGGGAAAACCACUCUGAGCCGUUCGGUAAGCAGCGACAACGUCAGCAAAGUAGGGCUCCCUAGUCCCAGCAGUACCACACCGAGCACCAGCAUCCAGGUGAGCGGUGGGAAUGGCAACAGCGGGACUGCGGGUAACAGUGGGGGCAGUGCAAGCAAAACCACAGCAGAUACCGGCAAUCAGUCAGCCUCCCUGAAAGGCCCGACUUCUCAGGAAUCGCAGCUCAAUGCCAUGAAGAGGCUACAGAUGGUCAAGAAGAAGGCUGCUCAAAAGAAACUCAAGAAGUAGUGCCACUGCUGGCUGACUGUUGGUUGUGUUCUGUGAAGCAGCAGCAUUUAUGUUUCUAUUAGAGAAAAUACCACGGUUACUGGACUGAACCAGUAAUUAAAUCAGGGAAGCCCAAAACCGAUGUACAGGAGGCCAAGCUUAGGAGCAGAGGAAGCAGACGCUGCAGCACUGUUGCAAGAGAGGAGCUGGGAUGCAUCCAGGCACUGGCAGUGUUAGAGGUGACGUGUAUCCUGCAAGCAUCUUGGGGCCUCUGCCUACCUGUUAAUAAUGCUGAGAGCUUGAAAAAGGUGUGGGAGGGGAGAAAAAAAAAAAAGGAUCUUUAAGUUCAGUAUGGUAAAUUUCCACUUCCAGAGCCUUGAAUGGGAUCAGCUUGGUCUCUCUUCCCUUUGCAGAGUGUAAGCCCCUACCACCCCCAGUGCAGUCUUGCACUUAGCCUGGCUGCUGUUACAGGGAAGGUUUGUACACACUGUGGCUGCUUCUCAGGAGCUUCUUGCUGAGACAUUUGUGUCAUUUUCGUGACUAGACCCUAGAUCUCUCACCCACAAGCUUCCUUUCAGCUCUUUCAUUUAUCCUGCUGGAUUUUGUUACAUGUCCUUGAACCUGUUCCAGCCACAUGCAGGCAACACAUAAUGCUUUAUAUGCUGCUAUUAAGACACGGGUACUUGAGAAAGUGUUGUAUCUUCCAGCUCUCCACUCACACCCCUGAACUGUUCACAGCUGUGCUCCCUCUGUUUGUCCCAGAUGAUCCACAUUUUGUUCAGCUCUCGAGAACUGGAAAAGGAUCUUCAGUCUUGCUGACUGUGACCAGCCUGCAGCAAUCCCCUCUCGGUUCCCUCUGUUGGGAGGAGCAUCUCUAAUUAUGAAAGCACCUCAGAGUUUAAGAGGUACACUGUAUGGGGUGAACAAAAGCAGGGAAAAAAAAGAUCUUUGUUUUCAAACUGUGGUAGCUCGUGCCAUUUAAAAUACCUCUGAGACCUGAUUUGAGUGCAUCCUGAUGAUUUUACUUCUAAAACCCAGCUUGUGACGGAACUCUGGCUGGAUGUGGCAGAAAAUAAUGGGCACAACAACCACAGAAGUAGCUACAAAAGAACAGAAGUAACGUGAUAUUUGCAAACUUGAAGUGUAUUUUGGAUCUCACUGCUGUAAAAGUACUGAGCAAGUUCUAACAUAUUAAUAGAUAAGCUAAGAUGUAUACCAAAUAUGCAGAAUAUUGUUUGAGGCAACUGUCUGUUUUCUCUGCUGUGCUAGUUUUGCAGUGACACUUUUUAUAGUUCACAACAGAAGAGGCAGACUUUGGGUAGCAUUUAAAGCUCUUUGCUCCUGGAAAAAGCCUCGUUGAUGUUGUUUUCGUUGUUUGUUUUAACAAAACAAAAAGACAACGUAUCUUUACAAAAAUAAAUUUUUAUUAUUACAAUAAUUUAAAAGAAGAUUUUUCACCAUUUAUGAACAGUACUGUAAGAGGAAUUAUCAAUAAUAGAUCUAUAAGCACAAGCAUUGUUACGGCUGUGUUUUCUUUCACAGGUCUAGUUCAUUUCACAUAUCUGUAUUUUUACAAUCUCUCUUAAAAUGACAGUAGAAAUGUAUUUUACUAUUCGAAGGUGCUAAUUACUCAAUCACAAAGUCAGAAGGAAUAAUUCUUCAAUCUGUGUUUGUGCUGAAAAUGUGACUCCUUAGUUAAAGUGCACAAGCACCCUCCAAGCAGAGGGAAGGCAAUGAAGCGCACAGUUGCCAAAGACUCUGAGCUGUGUUCAUUGGCUUGUAUGUUUGCUGGGUUCCAGGCUGUCAAUGUCAACACUUAAAAUAAAGUGAAUUGCCCUUGAUUUGACAAACA